rnacentral:ncRNA from 2 species
CCAAGAUAUUGGGUACACGGAGCGGACUAGGCACAAGAUCUAGCGCUUUACAGGGAAUCCGGUGACGAUUCUGUGAUUCGAACGCCGGAGCUGUACCCGCAACUGUAGGCGGCGAGUGUCGGAAGCGAAUCCGCGGGCCACUGAGCAGACCAUGCUUGGGAAGGCCAGCUUCCGGGACGCCAUCAGCCGCAAGCCAGGACACCUGCCGUGUGUUGAUCGACCGU